GACGAACGCUGGCGGCGCGCUUAACACAUGCAAGUCGAACGGAAAGGCCUGCUUUCCCUUGUGGAUUGCGGGUACUCGAGUGGCGAACGGGUGAGUAACACGUGAGUGAUCUGCCCCCAACUUGGGUAUAAGCCUGGGAAACUGGGUCUAAUUCCCGAUAGGACUGCAGGGUGGUGCCUGUGGUGGAAAACGAUUUUCUAGUGGUUGGGGAUGAGCUCGCGGCCUAUCAGCUUGUUGGUGGGGUAAUGGCCUACCGAGGCGGCGACGGGUAGCCGGCCUGAGAGGGUGGACGGCCACAUUGGGACUGAGAUACGGCCCAGACUCCUACGGGAGGCAGCAGUGGGGAAUAUUGCACAAUGGGCGGAAGCCUGAUGCAGCGACGCCGCGUGGGGGAUGACGGCCUUCGGGUGGUAAACUCCUUUCGACCGCGAGGAAGCCACCUGGUUGGAAGGGUGGUGACGGUAGUGGUAGAAGAAGCACCGGCUAACUACGUG
rnacentral:rRNA from 1 species